GGGGCCGUAGCUCAGUUGGGAGAGCGCGUGGAUGGCAUUCAUGAGGUCGUCGGUUCGAUCCCGUCCGGCUCCACAA
rnacentral:tRNA from 1 species